rnacentral:rRNA from 1 species
UACGGAGGGUGCGAGCGUUGUCCGGAAUCACUGGGCGUAAAGGGCGCGUAGGUGGCGCGGUCAGUCAACGGGGAAAGCUCGGGGCUCAACCCCGAGUCGGCCGUCGAUACUCCCGUGCUUGAGCACUGUAGAGGCAGGUGGAAUUCCCGGUGUAGCGGUGAAAUGCGCAGAUAUCGGGAGGAACACCAAUGGCGAAGGCAGCUCGCUGGGACGGUACUGACGCUGAGACGCGAAAGCGUGGGGAGCAAACAGG